GGCAGUGUAGUCUAAUGGAAAGGGAACUGGGCUUGUAACCCACAGGUCGCAGGUUCGAUUUCCAGGAAGGCCACUGUUA
rnacentral:tRNA from 1 species